CACGCAUUGACUUGAUUUGUGACAAGCCAUCACACACUCUUUGUUGCCAUGUGAAGAAGAAGAAGUCAAGAGAUGAUGACCAUCGAUUGUCACGUUGGUGAUCCUCGCUCUCAUGGGGGUGGUGGUGGUUGCCGGGUUCCAUAACCAGAUAAGCCAGACACCCUCGAUCGUAUAAGUAAAGCAUUUUCUGUUUCCUUUAAGCCACAUAAAACAAGGCAGUUCUACCAAGGUUUUAUUUUCCUCACUGCAUCAACUGAAUCGUCAUUGUACUGCUGCUUCUGGUGUGCUGACUUUGGCCACCGGAGGGCAGUAUAAUACGGUCAUUGAGACAUCCGAACUGCUUUCUCACUGACGGUCAUGCUCGUGCUCGUAUUUUUAGUCUGCGCUCACAGUGAAGCAAAAAAACAAACAAACAAAAAAUCCGUAAAACAAUGACUUAUAUCUUGAAAAAUUCUGAAGUCAGGUCACCCGUAUAACGUGGUACCUUACUGUGUAAUACAGUGACUACCUGGAAUUAAUUUUUAAAGGCAAAAGAGCGUGAGGAUGUCUUUUACAUCUUUGCAAGAUCCAUUCAGCUGAGAGUACCUUGCUUGAGCAAAUGUACUUCCUUCAUGCGUGUGACUGCCCCCCCCCCAACAAUCUCACAUUGUGUUUUGCUCCCUCAGCCACUGCCUGAUUCUGAGGUAGUUUCCAAGUUUUGACUGAGCCAGUUUCCGAGCGCCAUAGGAUGAGUUAGCUCACAUGGAAGCCAGAAGAUCUUGGGUUUCUGGAGAUGGUUUCAGUAACAUGGUUUUGUGCAUUUGCUGUGCUCUGCUUCCUCCAGGUGUCAGAACAUAGGAGAUAGUAUUUGAAAACAGACAGGAGCUUGGAUUUUAAAACAAAUGUAAUUUAUUCUUCACAUGGGUGAUUAGUGUGAUCAUAUUUUUGCAACGCUCAAAAUAUCAUUUGUCAUUUGUUUCUAUUUUUGGUGUUCUGUACAAGGUUAGAUUUGAGGAGUGCCUUGGAUUGCUUUCUUCUGUCAGUCUUGGUCUUAGUGUCGUAUUGGAUUGUAUAAAACCCACCAGGGUUGCUGCAUGAAAAUGUCUUCUUUUUUCUCAUCAAGCUGUUGAAUCAUUGAAUGUCUUUGAAUGAAAUAUAAAAUGAAAAUGUGUUGGACUGUGAAAUGCAGUUGAACUGUUCUUA